rnacentral:rRNA from 1 species
GACGAGCGCUGGCGGCGUGCUUAACACAUGCAAGUCGAACGGAAAGGCCCUGCUUGCCGGGUACUCGAGUGGCGAACGGGUGAGUAACACGUGGGUGAUCUGCCCUGCACUUCGGGAUAAGCCUGGGAAACUGGGUCUAAUACCGGAUAGGAGCCAUUUUUAGUGUGAUGGUUGGAAAGUUUUUUCGGUGUAGGAUGAGCUCGCGGCCUAUCAGCUUGUUGGUGGGGUAAUGGCCUACCAAGGCGGCGACGGGUAGCCGGCCUGAGAGGGUGGACGGCCACAUUGGGACUGAGAUACGGCCCAGACUCCUACGGGAGGCAGCAGUGGGGAAUAUUGCACAAUGGGCGCAAGCCUGAUGCAGCGACGCCGCGUGGGGGAUGACGGCCUUCGGGUUGUAAACUCCUUUCGCUAGGGACGAAGCUUUUUGUGACGGUACCUAGAUAAGAAGCACCGGCUAACUACGUG